rnacentral:rRNA from 1 species
AUGCAAGUCGAACGGUAACAUUUCUAGCUUGCUAGAAGAUGACGAGUGGCGGACGGGUGAGUAAUGCUUGGGAACUUGCCUUUGCGAGGGGGAUAACAGUUGGAAACGACUGCUAAUACCGCAUAAUGUCUUCGGACCAAACGGGGCUUCGGCUCCGGCGCAAAGAGAGGCCCAAGUGAGAUUAGCUAGUUGGUAAGGUAACGGCUUACCAAGGCGACGAUCUCUAGCUGUUCUGAGAGGAAGAUCAGCCACACUGGGACUGAGACGCGGCCCAGACUCCUACGGGAGGCAGCAGUGGGGAAUAUUGCACAAUGGGGGAAACCCUGAUGCAGCCAUGCCGCGUGUGUGAAGAAGGCCUUCGGGUUGUAAAGCACUUUCAGUUGUGAGGAAAAGUUAGUAGUUAAUACCUGCUAGCCGUGACGUUAACAACAGAAGAAGCACCGGCUAACUCCGUGCCAGCAGCCGCGGUAAUACGGAGGGUGCGAGCGUUAAUCGGAAUUACUGGGCGUAAAGCGCACGCAGGCGGUUUGUUAAGCUAGAUGUGAAAGCCCCGGGCUCAACCUGGGAUGGUCAUUUAGAACUGGCAGACUA